rnacentral:lncRNA from 12 species
UGGGGUUGGGGUGGCCACAGCUGGGGUUGGGGUGGCCACAGCUGGGGUUGGGGUGGCCACAGCUGGGGUUGGGGUGGCCACAGCUGGGGUUGGGGUGGUCAUGGUCGGGUUUAGAAUGGCCAUGGCCGGGUGUGAGGUGGUCAUGGUUGGGUUUGGUUGGUCAUGGUUGGGUUUAGAAUGAGCGUGGCUGGGUUUGGGGUGGUCACACUUUCACAGGUGGGUUUGGGGUGGUCACGGGUGGGUUUGGGGUGGUGACAGUUGGGUUUGAGGUGGUCACAGUGGGGUUUGGGGUGGUCACAGGUGGGUUUGGGGUGGCCACAGAUGCACAGGUGGGUUUGGGGUGGUCACAGUUGGGUUUGAGGUGGUCACAGGUGGGUUUGGGGUGGUCACAGUUGGGUUUGAGGUGGUCACAGGUGGGUUUGGGGUGGUCACAGUUGGGUUUGAGGUGGUCACAGGUGGGUUUGGGGUGGUCACAGUUGGGUUUGAGGUGGUCACAGGUGGGUUUGGGGUGGUCACGGGUGGGUUUGGGGUGGUGACAGUUGGGUUUGAGGUGGUCACAGUGGGGUUUGGGGUGGUCACAGGUGGGUUUGGGGUGGUCACAGGUGGGGUUGAGGUGGUCAUGGAGGGGUUUGGGGUGGCCACAGGUGGGUUUGGGGUGGUCAAGGAUGGGUUUGGAGCAGUCAUGGUCAGGUUUAGAAUGGCCAUGGCCGGGUGUGAGGUGGUCACAGGUGGGUUUGGGGUGGUCACUGUUGGGUUUGGGUUGGUCACAGGUGGGUUUGGGAUGGUCACAGGUGGGUUUGGGGUGGCCACAGGUGGGUUUGGGGUGGUUAAGGUUGGGCUGGAGAGGUCUGGGGGACAGCUGGUGGCACUUGGGGACAGACACAGGUGGGUUUGGGGACAGUCCCUAUGAUGCCUCCAGGUUUGGGGACAGUCUCUAUAAUGUCCUCAGGGUUGGGGACAGUCCCCAUGAUGUCCCCAGGGUCUGGGGACAGGCCCAUGAUGUCCCCAGGGUUAAGGACAGUCUCUAUGAUGUCCCCAGGGUUGGGGACAGCCCCCAUGAUGUCCCCAGGGUUGGGGACAGCCCCUGGAUGUCCCCAGGUACCGUGAUGACGUCCAGGAUGCUCAGCAGGCUGUGCACGCUGUCCCCAGGGAACACCUCCUUCAUCACCGUCUCCUUCCCGUCCUGCCAGGACACGCCCGCGUCACCUGGGGUCACCUGGGGUCACCUGAGUGCCCCCUGAGUGCCCAAGAGUGUCCCCUGGCUCUCCCCUGAGUGUCCCCAGCUGUCCCCAGUGUCCCCAAUACCCCCAGAGUCCCCAAUGUCCCCUGUCUCUCCCAGUGUCCCCAACAUCCCCAGUGUCCCCAAGUGUCCCCAGUAUCCCCAAUGUUCCCAGUGUCCCCAAGUGUCCCUAAUGUCCCCAGCCAUCCCCCAAUGUCCCCAGUGUCCCCAGCCAUGCCCAA